CUACGGGAGGCAGCAGUGGGGAAUAUUGCACAAUGGGCGAAAGCCUGAUGCAGCGACGCCGCGUGGGGGAUGACGGUCUUCGGAUUGUAAACCCCUUUCAGUAGGGACGAAGCGCAAGUGACGGUACCUGCAGAAGAAGCACCGGCUAACUACGUGCCAGCAGCCGCGGUAAUACGUAGGGUGCGAGCGUUGUCCGGAAUUACUGGGCGUAAAGAGCUCGUAGGCGGUUUGUCACGUCGUCUGUGAAAUCCCUCGGCUUAACCGGGGGCGUGCAGGCGAUACGGGCAGACUUGAGUACUACAGGGGAGACUGGAAUUCCUGGUGUAGCGGUGAAAUGCGCAGAUAUCAGGAGGAACACCGGUGGCGAAGGCGGGUCUCUGGGUAGUAACUGACGCUGAGGAGCGAAAGCAUGGGUAGCGAACAGGAUUAGAUACCCUGGUAGUCCAUGCCGUAAACGGUGGGCGCUAGGUGUGGGGUCCUUCCACGGACUCCGUGCCGUAGCUAACGCAUUAAGCGCCCCGCCUGGGGAGUACGGCCGCAAGGCUAAAACUCAAAGGAAUUGACGGGGGCCCGCACAAGCGGCGGAGCAUGUGGAUUAAUUCGAUGCAACGCGAAGAACCUUACCUAGGCUUGACAUAUACAGGACGACGGCAGAGAUGUCGUUUCCCUUGUGGCUUGUAUACAGGU
rnacentral:rRNA from 1 species